rnacentral:rRNA from 1 species
CCAAUAGCGUAUAUUAAAGUUGUUGCAGUUAAAAAGCUCGUAGUUGAAUUUCGGGGUCAGUAGGUUGGUCGUGCCACUGGUAUGUACUGGUCUCACUGAUUCCUCCUUCCUGAUGAGCUGUAUUGCCAUUAAUUUGGUGUUGCAGGGAAUCUGGACUGUUACUUUGAAAAAAUUAGAGUGUUUAAAGCAGGCUAACGCUUGAAUACAUUAGCAUGGAAUAAUGAAAUAGGACGUUCGAUCCUAUUUUGUUGGUUUCUAGGAUUGACGUAAUGAUAAAUAGGGAUAGUUGGGGGCAUUAGUAUUCAAUUGUCAGAGGUGAAAUUCUUGGAUUUAUUGAAGACUAACUACUGCGAAAGCAUUUGCCAAGGAUGUUUUCAUUAAUCAAGAACGAAAGUUAGGGGAUCGAAGACGAUCAGAUACCGUCGUAGUCUUAACCAUAAACUAUGCCGACUAGGGAUCGGAUGAUGUUAAUUUUUUAAUGACUCUUUCGGCGCCUUACG